rnacentral:lncRNA from 1 species
UUUAAGGGGUUGUGACCAUAGAAUUAAUCUAGAAUAAUUUAGAGUUAUUUUAGAUAAUUAAAAUAAUGAUUUAAUUGAUUAUUUAAGUAAUUAAUAAGAAAAGGAGAGUGUGUAGAGAUUUUAAGGGCAAUGUGGUAAUUACAAGGUUAAGUUGAGGGUAGAAUAGGAAAGUCUAUUGGGAGAAAGAGGGUUACUAGAAAAAAAUAGUAAUUGGGAAAAAGGAAUCCAAAUUUCAUCGUACGUAGAAAUUUGGAGAAAAGAGAAGGAAGGCUAGGGCAAGAGGCUAUGGGUGACCUAGAGGAAGAUAGUAAAAGUUUUGCUUCAGAAUUUUUGCAAGGAAUUCAGGUAAGGGUGGGAACUUGUUUCAAU